CUCAGAAAUUACAGAAAGUAACGUCUGCCCAGUGACCGAUAGGUUUAACGGCCGCGUAUUAGUGCUAAGGUAGCAUAAUAAUUUGCCUUUUCAUUGAAGGCUAGUAUGAACGGCAUAACGAAGCUUAGCUGUCUCUACUUAAUAUAAAAAAAUUGAUUAACAAGUGAAAAAGCUUUUAUACUAUUGAAGGACGAAAAGACCCUAUAGAGCUUUAAUACAAUAAAUAAACAAAUUUUUAAAUUUAAAAAAUCCUUAAUUUAAGUAUUUUUAUUGGGGCAAUAGAAAAAAAAUUUUAACAUACACAUUUGCAAUAACAAACAAAAAAAAAACCCUCAAAGAGAACAAAUACAAGCUACCUUAGGGAUAACAGCGUAAUCUUUCCAGAGAGACCUGAUCGAAGGAAAGGUUUGCGACCUCGAUGUUGGACUAAGAAAACCCAAAGGUGCAGAAGCCUUUUAAAGCUGGCCUGUUCGGCCAUUAA
rnacentral:rRNA from 1 species